rnacentral:misc_RNA from 1 species
CAAAGUUUGUUUUAUUUUGGGGCUUGUAGGAAUAUUAUGGAAAAGAUAUUGAACUUUAAAGACGCACAAGUUGUGGAGAAGAGGAAUGAGAGGAUGAUCGGACAUACUUCAAAGACGAGUUGAGUUCAAGGUUGGAAAUGUAGUAUACAACUUAUAUACCUGCUAG